rnacentral:rRNA from 1 species
UACGGGGGGAGCAAGCGUUGUUCGGAUUUACUGGGCGUAAAGGGCGCGUAGGCGGCCACCGCAAGUCGACUGUGAAAUCUCCGGGCUUAACCCGGAAAGGUCAGCCGAUACUGCGGGGCUAGAGUGCAGAAGGGGCAACUGGAAUUCUCGGUGUAGCGGUGAAAUGCGUAGAUAUCGAGAGGAACACCUGCGGCGAAGGCGGCAACCUGGACAAGUACUGACACUCAACUACGAAAGCGUGGGGAGCAAACAGG